UCUCGAUUGGUCUAGUGGUCAGGAUACCUGCUUGUCAUUGAUUUUCAGCGACUCAAAAUUCACGAUACUGAAUUUAAGUGAUUAAGAAAAUAAGCCGCAGGUGGCCGGGGUUCGAUUCCCCGAUCGAGAG